GACGAACGCUGGCGGCGUGCUUAACACAUGCAAGUCGAACGGAAAGGCCCUGCUUUUGUGGGGUGCUCGAGUGGCGAACGGGUGAGUAACACGCGAGUAACCUGCCCUUGACUUUGGGAUAACUUCAGGAAACUGGGGCUAAUACCGGAUAGGAGCUCCUGCUGCACGGGGGGGGUUGGAAAGUUUCGGCGGUUGGGGAUGGACUCGCGGCUUAUCAGCUUGUUGGUGGGGUAGUGGCUUACCAAGGCUUUGACGGGUAGCCGGCCUGAGAGGGUGACCGGCCACAUUGGGCCUGAGAUACGGCCCAGACUCCUACGGGCGGCAGCAGUGGGGAAUAUUGCACAAUGGGCGGAAGCCUGAUGCAGCAACGCCGCGUGCGGGAUGCCGGCCUUCGGGUUGUAAACCGCUUUCGCCUGUGACGAAGCGUGAGUGACGGUAAUGGGUAAAGAAGCACCGGCUAACUACGUG
rnacentral:rRNA from 1 species